UACGGGGGGGCAAGCGUUGUUCGGAAUUACUGGGCGUAAAGGGCUCGUAGGUGGCCAACUAAGUCAGACGUGAAAUCCCUCGGCUUAACCGGGGAACUGCGUCUGAUACUGGAUGGCUUGAGUUCGGGAGAGGGAUGCGGAAUUCCAGGUGUAGCGGUGAAAUGUGCAGAUAUCGGGAAGAACACCCGUGGCGAAGGCGGCUACUCUGGGACGGUACUGACGCUGAGACGCGAAAGCGUGGGGAGCGAACAGG
rnacentral:rRNA from 1 species